ensembl:lncRNA
UGUAGGGGGUGCAGUUUCACUCUCGGAGCUGCGUGCAUGAGAGGCCAGAGGGCGCCCGAAAAAUACCGGAAGUGCAAAAUGACGCAUGUAUGUAGGCUACUUAAAGAAAAUCCUGUUUUUAGUUUGUGUAAUUGUUGAUUUGAUCACAAACGCUUGUGUAAAAACUUGCCACGCUUGCCAUCGGAGCUGCUUAUCCCUGAAUUAGGUAGGAAACUGUGUUUGAUGAUGAUUUGCUGCUUUUUAUUUGUCUAAUGUAUUUAGAGGUGUGGACUGUUGUUUCCUCAGAAAAAAGAAGUAGGUUCAAGUUCAAUAGGUUAGCACAAAGUGAUUUUACAGGGCAGUGUAAUGAAUGUUUUUCCUCCUACCUGUAGAGGGGCCUUGCCUUGUAUUUGUGAUGGAAUAUUACUAUGUUUCUUUACUAGCCGCAACAAUGUUUAGCUAGUCUUGUUUUCACCUUGUGAUUCUGUGUGUGUGUGUGUUAUUGUUGCAAAAUGUGGUCCUGGAGACACCUACUGUGCCAGGAAGCUACCACAGAAGCGAUUUGAGUACUUUGCCAGGUGCUUAUAUGCCUGUCUGUGGAUGUAUUUUUCGUCAACGUGAUGUAACCAACUGUUACAUGUAAGUGAAACAUUCACUGUCAUUUUACUGCUGAUUUGGUAGAAACAUUCUUCAGAGAAAUGUGGCUCUUUGGCUUGCAAGAUGUUCUGAAGUUGACUCUCAGUGGGAUUGACAAUACUAGCAGCCCAAGGCCGCAGACAGUUUUGACGUACUGCUUAACACAUGAAUAAUUUGCAACAAAAAAAAGUCUUCAUCUGUCUACUCAUCUCUGUCUCUUUCACAUCUUGCUGUCAGGGAUGAGUAACCCAAUCUCUGCUGUCUUUGUGACCAGAUGUUCAACUCUGUAUAACCCAUGGCUGCAUAAUCCAGGCAGAUCGCAGAGUCUGUCCUCGGCUGUCUCUCCAUUGGCACUGUCACUCCCUCAUUCAGCCGUUCGUCAUCCUGUUGCUGCUCCUCAUCAAUCCCACACUGCCACAAUGGUCUGUGACAGCAGCACUGACAGGCCCAUGACAGGCCUGCCACCCGGACGGCCUGUCCCAGCCAGCCAGCCUACAAUACGGGAGAAGACAAACAGACCUGAACAUGCACAACUCAUUCCUCCUCCCCCCCCCAAACCUUGUUGGCGCCUGGCUGUGUGGCCCAACUCUCUCAAACUCUCCCAACAACACUGUACAAACGCUACAGCGGGGCUUUAGCUACGGCAAUGUCGCUCUGUUGGCCGGUCCACAACUGUGGUCCGGACUGAAACAUCUGUUGGAUGGACUGCCAUGACAUCAGUGUUCAGAUAUUCAUGGUCCCCAGAGGAUGACACCUCCUAACUCCCCUGACUUUCCCUCUAGCGCCACCAUGAGGUUGAUAUUUAUUUGUGGUUUUGAAUAAAAAAGCUCAACUUUUGGAUGGAUUGCCAUGAAGUUUGGUACAGCCGUUAUUUUUUACAGCCCAACACUUUGGUUUAUUACCAAACACUUGCAAUCAGCAAGACAUUCCCAUGAGCCUCAGCUGUAGGCGACUUGUUUAUUGUUAAAUAGCUAAUGUUAGCAUGUUGACAUGCUAAACUAAGAUACCAAAUAUGGCAACAUUGCCUCCUAAACAUCAACAUUUUAGCAUGGUUAUUGUGAGCAUGUUUGCAUUUAGCUCAAACUACCACUGUGUCUGUAGGCGCUUCGCAUAGUUACCCACGAAACUGAAGGUUUUUUGACCAGGUUUCUUUUUGGAUUUUACAUUUCAUAAUAUUGCAUUGUG